GACGAACGCUGGCGGCGUGCUUAACACAUGCAAGUCGAACGGAAAGGCCCUGCUUUUGUGGGGUGCUCGAGUGGCGAACGGGUGAGUAAAACGUGAGUAACCUGCCCUUGACUUUGGGAUAACUUCAGGAAACUGGGGCUAAUACCGGAUAGGAGCUCCUGCUGCAUGGUGGGGGUUGGAAAGUUUCGGCGGUUGGGGAUGGACUGGCGGGUUAUCAGCUUGAUGGUGGGGUAGUGGCUUACCAAGGCUUUGACGGGUAGCCGGCCUGAGAGGGUGACCGGCCACAAUGGGACUGCGGGACGGCCCAGACGCCUACGGGAGGCAGCAGUGGAGAAUAUUGCACAAUGGGCGGAAGCCUGAGGCAGCAACGCCGCGAGCGGGAUGCCGGCCUUCGGGUUGUAAACCGCUGUCGCCGGUGACGAAGCGUGAGUGACGGUAAUGGGUAAAGAAGCACCGGCUAACUACGUG
rnacentral:rRNA from 1 species